UACGGAAGGUCCGGGCGUUAUCCGGAUUUAUUGGGUUUAAAGGGAGCGCAGGCCGCCCCUUAAGCGUGUUGUGAAAUGCCGCGGCUCAACCGUGGCACUGCAGCGCGAACUGGGGCGCUUGAGUGGGCGAGAAGUGCGCGGAAUGCGUGGUGUAGCGGUGAAAUGCAUAGAUAUCACGAAGAACUCCGAUUGCGAAGGCAGCCUACCGUAGCGUUACUGACGCUGAGGCUCGAAGGUGCGGGUAUCGAACAGG
rnacentral:rRNA from 1 species